rnacentral:tRNA from 3 species
GCCACCAUAGCUCAGUUGGAAGAGCAGGGGUUUUGUAAACCUCAGGUCGCGGGUUCGAAUCCUGCUGGUGGCU